CGGACGGCUGAGUAACGCGUGGGUAACCUACCCGUGAGUGGGGAAUAACCCUCCGAAAGGAGGGCUAAUACCGCAUACGACCACGAGUCUGCGGAUUCGUGAGGAAAGUCGCAAGACGCUCGCGGAGGGGCCCGCGUCCGAUUAGCUAGUUGGUGAGGUAACGGCCCACCAAGGCGUCGAUCGGUAGCUGGUCUGAGAGGAUGAUCAGCCAGACUGGGACUGUGACACGGCCCAGACUCCUACGGGAGGCAGCAGUUAGGAAUCUUGGGCAAUGGGCGAAAGCCUGACCCAGCAACGCCGCGUGGGUGACGAAGGCCUUCGGGUCGUAAAGCCCUUUUCCACGGGAAGAUGAUGACGGUACCGUGGGAAUAAGCCCCGGCUAACUACGUGCCAGCAGCCGCGGUAAUACGUAGGGGGCGAGCGUUGUCCGGAUUUAUUGGGCGUAAAACGCUUGUAGGUGGCUACGUCAAGUCGGACGUGAAAUCUCCCGGCUUAACUGGGAGGGGUCGCUCGAUACUGGCGAGCUCGAGGCAGGUAGGGGGAAGCGGAAUUCCCGGUGUAGUGGUGGAAUGCGUAGAUAUCGGGAGGAACACCAGUGGCGAAGGCGGCUUCCUGGACCUGUUCUGACACUGAGGAGCGAAAGCGUGGGGAGCGAUCCGGAUUAGAUACCCGGGUAGUCCACGCCGUAAACGGUGAGCACUAGGUGUCGGGGGUAUCGACCCCUCCGGUGCCGCAGCUAACGCAUUAAGUGCUCUGCCUGGGGAGUACGGCCGCAAGACUAAAACUCAAAG
rnacentral:rRNA from 1 species